rnacentral:rRNA from 1 species
AGUGAACGCUGGCGGUAGACCUAACACAUGCAAGUCGAACGGCAGCACAGUAAGAGCUUGCUCUUACGGGUGGCGAGUGGCGGACGGGUGAGGAAUACAUCGGAAUCUACUUUUUCGUGGGGGAUAACGUAGGGAAACUUACGCUAAUACUGCAUACGACCUACGGGUGAAAGCAGGGGAUCUUCGGACCUUGCGCGAUUGAAUGAGCCGAUGUCGGAUUAGCUAGUUGGCGGGGUAAAGGCCCACCAAGGCGACGAUCCGUAGCUGGUCUGAGAGGAUGAUCAGCCACACUGGAACUGAGACACGGUCCAGACUCCUACGGGAGGCAGCAGUGGGGAAUAUUGGACAAUGGGCGCAAGCCUGAUCCAGCCAUACCGCGUGGGUGAAGAAGGCCUUCGGGUUGUAAAGCCCUUUUGUUGGGAAAGAAAAGCAGCAGGUUAAUACCCCGCUGUUCUGACGGUACCCAAAGAAUAAGCACCGGCUAACUUCGUG